AGCAAGACCACAUAUUGCCUCAGACAAGAAACUUUCUUUCUGUGCUUGAUUCUUCCAGAUACAGCUGUGUCUUGCUCCUAAGAUCCACCCAGCACACGAGAGUACAGAGGCCACGAAGAGAAGGAGCUUGUCACAAAGCGCCAAUGGGAACUGACUGCCCAACCCCGAGACCUACCAAUGCACCAGCUGGUGAGCACCAGAGGCUGGCCCAGUGCCCACAGCCAAGCUCACAUGGUGUGGCCCAUGGUGCCUUCACAGGAAGGGCCUGAGGGCUGGCUGCAGUCAGUUUUUUUUUUUUUUUUUUUCUUCAAACUAGAGGGGAACAUUUUUCCUUGGUAAUCCCCUGGUGCUGAAGUCACUCAGGUGAGCCUCGGUGAAAAGGCCUCAGACACUCAGCAAGGCCCAGGGAGGAUGAGCUCAUUUCUGGCAGCCGGGCUGGCAUGCCCCAGACUGCAGCAACAUGCUCUCCCGCCCAUGCCUGCUCCUGUGCCAGGGCGUGUCCUGCCAUCAGCAGGCCACUGGCCCCCAAAUCCACCACAGAUGGCCAACGGGAUGUCUGUGACAUGCCAGUGCCUCCUCCCACCCAGGAGGCUUGCUUCAGGGUCCCCUACUGGCCUAGACCCACGUGAAAUCAGCUGUUCCAUGCAAAGACAUGCAGAACCAAGAGGAGAGGUGCAGGUAAGUUAUUAGGAGCACGGGUUCCACAAUGGUGUGGCCUUGCUACUGCCCCUGGCUGCUGUUUGUGCCUUCUGGACAGCGACUUCAACUCCUCCUCAGUUAACGAGCACAGUGGCAGAUCCCCAUGCCAUGGGUUCCAUGCAUGGCAGUCACCAUCACCACACUAAGUCCAAGAGCAAGAACUCUGCCAAGACACUAUAUCAUCAAAAGCAAAUGGUUUGGGUAAUGCAAACUCCAAAGUGAACCUAAAGUUUAUGCUUUGGUUAGGAAUACAGUGGUCAAAGAACUGAAGCCAUAUGAAGGUGCCGUGAGCAUGCUGCCUGACUCAUCUCAGAGGGGCUCCUGGCUGCCAGGAGCUAUGCUGUAGCUGGUCUCACCUCUGUCAAGGGAGGCAGAGCCUGAUGGGAGUGCCCCACUGUGCCUCAGAAUGAAAGUUCACUGGUCUGCAGAGAGGACGGAAAGGGGGAAGCUAAAUGUCCUGUGGAAAAGUGGUAUAGAGGCCUGGCUGGGCAAACCAGGCCCUGAGCUCACUCCUGGUGAUAUACUCUCAGCAGCCCAAGUGGCAGAGGGGGCAAGGAGUGCCUGCUACCUGAGGCCUCUGCUUGGGAAUUUCCCAGCAGGAGAGCCAGGCUGGGGCUGGCAGGCAAGGACACGCAGUUGGGAGGGGUGCAGCCGGCAGCACCUGGGAAUGCAGCACCAUGCUUACAGAGACUCCACAUUGCACUGGAGGAGGCUCUGCUCCACGGUGUAUGCCCUCCAGGCAUCACAGGGGCCCUCCCAGGACCAACCCAGCCAGUGUCAGGGGUCCUCGCUCUCUGCCAGCUGGGUCACACUGCGGCCCCUGGGUGUUUUCAGAAUGCCAAUCACAUUCUCAAGCUUAACUGUCUCUAUGGCACUUUAGUGGUGAAUGGCAGGGCUGCUCGCCAUUCCCUGGAGGAAGUAAGCCUGACGGCAGUUCCCACCAAUAAGCUUGGCAUAGGCAUCACAUGCUCCUGGGUCCCCCCUUGUAUAAGCUUUGUGGGGGGCCAGACGUCCACCUGCAGGUCCAGCCGUUCCUCAUCACAACAGACAGCCCACCACAGGGACAGCCACAACUUAGCUCCAUGGUUCUGCUCCCAGUGACAUGUGGUGAAUGUCUGGAGACAUUCUAGUUGUCACAAGUUGGGGGACACUCCUGGUAUCUAGAUGGCAGAGGCCAGGAGCACCAAUAAACAGCUCUCCAUUUACAGAUGCCCCAGGAAAGAAAUGUCCAGCCCAGAAGGUCAGCCGUGCUGAGGGUAAGAACCCUGGCCUCACAUGCACGUUUCCAGCAGGUUGGAAGGCGGUUCCUACAGAGUCAGGCUGUUCAAAGGCCUGAAUCUCAUUUGCAGUCUUGACAUUAGAACAUGGGCUGCAACUGGAGAAGGGAGAUAAAGCCAAAGGGAAGAUUUUUGCAAAACAAGCUGCAGAUGAGCAUGGAGAAGAGCAGAGCCACACACACGGAGUGGAAAAGUACACUGAUCUUCCCAGUGGCUCUAAAGCAACAACCAAAAGACAAAAAACCACCAGCAUCCGUCUUCUUCCUUUACAGCCAGACAAAUCUCCCUGGCUCUAAUGGGUUUCAGGCAGAGAUGGUUUCCUGAGGGUAGUGCCAGUCAGAAUGGGUGGGGCAGGCCCCGGAGCUCUAAUGGCCCCAAGCUGAGUUUCCCAUGGCUUAGCACAUGGUCCUGCGUGUGGCACGCACAGCCCCAGCUUGUGCACUGUGUGGUCGUACUCUCUCCAAGUACUCUCUGCCUAGGAGCCUGCUCCAUCCUGCUUCAUUAGUCUCUGAAGCUGAGAGAAUCCCCUUGUUUGUUUCUGCAGACAUUCGCUUGGCUUUAGCACUCACUGCUCCCCAGACCACAAAGGUAUAUGGGUUUAGUAAAACCCGUCAUAAUGAUUUUUCUCUAUCAAAAACAGCCCUAACAAUUUUUAUACAACUUUUAAAUAAAAAAAAAUGGAAAACACAAUAAAUAAAUCCUCUAAA